GAAACUAACAAGGAUUCCCCUAGUAACUGCGAGUGAAGCGGGAAAAGCUCAAAUUUAAAAUCUGGUGGUCUUUGGCCAUCCGAGUUGUAAUCUAGAGAAGUGUUAUCCGCGCUGGACCGUGUACAAGUCUCCUGGAAUGGAGCGUCAUAGAGGGUGAGAAUCCCGUCUUUGACACGGACUACCAGGGCUUUGUGAUGCGCUCUCAAAGAGUCGAGUUGUUUGGGAAUGCAGCUCAAAAUGGGUGGUAAAUUCCAUCUAAAGCUAAAUAUUGGCGAGAGACCGAUAGCGAACAAGUACCGUGAGGGAAAGAUGAAAAGAACUUUGGAAAGAGAGUUAAACAGUACGUGAAAUUGCUGAAAGGGAAACGCUUGAAGUCAGUCGCGUUGUCUGGGGAUCAACCUUGCUUUUGCUGGGCGUACUUUCCAGAUGACGGGUCAGCAUCAAUUUUGACCGUUGGAUAAAGAUUAGAGGAAUGUGGCAUCUUCGGAUGUGUUAUAGCCUUUGGUUGUAUACAACGGUUGGGAUUGAGGAACUCAGCACGCCGCAAGGCCGGGUACUUGUACCACGUUCGUGCUUAGGAUGCUGGCAUAAUGGCUUUAAUCGACCCGUCUUGAAACACGGACCAAGGAGUCUAACAUGCCUGCGAGUAUUUGGGUGGUAAACCCGAGUGCGUAAUGAAAGUGAAAGUUGAGAUCCUUGUCAUGGGGAGCAUCGACGCCCGGACCAGACCUUUUGUGACGGAUCUGCGGUAGAGCAUGUAUGUUGGGACCCGAAAGAUGGUGAACUAUGCCUGAAUAGGGUGAAGCCAGAGGAAACUCUGGUGGAGGCUCGUAGCGAUUCUGACGUGCAAAUCGAUCGUCAAAUUUGGGUAUAGGGGCGAAAGACUAAUCGAACCAUCUAGUAGCUG
rnacentral:rRNA from 1 species